GGAGGGUUGGCAGAGCGGACGAAUGCACUCGCCUUGAAAGCGAGCGACCCGCAAGGGUCCGGGGGUUCGAAUCCCUCACCCUCCG
rnacentral:tRNA from 1 species